UUGUAACACUGCACUCCAGCCUGAGUGACAGAGUGAGAAUAAACAAACAAACAAACAAACUGAGAAGGGGAACCCAAAGCUAAAGGUCAAAGACAGUGGCAAGGGGUCUGACUCCAGAAACCCGGAGUCAGAGCUGCUCUGUCAGACGUGCUCAGGAACCCAGAUUAACUGUGUCCUCACCUCAAAGACCGGGCCUCUGAAGCUUUUUCAAGAUUCACAGAAUCUCUCUUAACUUGUGCUAGAUCUUUUCUUGAAAAAAAGCCAAUCAUGACAAGCAGAUAUAAUCCGUUUAAGGACUACGGGAAGUGUGCAGCCUUGUACGGACGUCCCAUUGGAAACCCUCGGAGUAUGGAAUCAAACUCCUGUAAACUUUCCUCUUGCAAAGUAACUUUGUUUAGUAAUUGCAAUUAAUUCAUAAUCAAAAUGUGGCUUAUUCAUAGCACUUAAAAAAAAAUCCCAACCAAAUCCUUCCUAGCCUCAAUUUUGUCACUAUGAAUGACAUACACAGAAAAAAUAAAAAACAUUUCUGUGUAAAAAGUCGCAGGAUGCCCUUGCUUUACCAAACUGGCCUCACUAUGAGGUCUGAAUGGAUUUCUAAAAACGUAAUCUGAUCAGAGUUAACUUCAAAAUAAAUAACUUCCCUUUCGACCAACACGAGAACACCAACAGAAGCUUCUGACGGCUCAGCUUGGCCGGGACGUGUUUCCACAGAGGUGCCCGGGUCUACCAGGGCCACCCGGAAUAGAAAGGCGCAGAAGGGAGCCCGAGGGGCUGCGAUUCUCUUAGCAACGAAGGCGGUGUGGGCCACACAACGGGACAAAAGAAGAAACAAAACUGACUGCGAGCUCAUUUGGGUGUAGGAAAACCACUGCAGUCGAAAAACAUUUGAAAUUAUGGUUCGCAAGGCAAGUUACAUUUUUAUUCAUUAAAUGUGAACGGUCAUCCCCA